GACGAACGUUGGCGGCGUGCUUAAUACAUGCAAGUCAACUGAAGCACCGGUAGUAAUACUGGUGUGGAGGUGGCGCACGGGUGAGUAACACGUAGGUAAUCUGCCUUCAGGUCUGACAUAACCCCGAGAAAUCGGGGCUAAUAGCAGAUGAUGCAGCGGCUUGACAUCAAGACAGUUGUUAAAGCUUCGGCGCCUGAAGAUGAGCCUGCGUCGAUUAGCUAGUUGGCGGAGUAACAGCCCACCAAGGCUACGAUCAGUAGCUGGUCUGAGAGGAUGAUCAGCCACACUGGAACUGAGACACGGUCCAGA
rnacentral:rRNA from 1 species